AUGCUGACUUGUUGGAAGAAUAUUUGUUUGUUUGUGUCUGGUCUGGCUGGUGUGACCAGAGUCCCUGCCGAAACUGUGUUGAAGAAGAAGACGAAGCUGGGUGGAGGCGGGCAAUGUUAGCCCCGCCUCCCCUCAUCCCUCACAUAUAAAUCGGAGGCGAACGUAGCCUGUUCUCACUCAACACUCGCAUGAAGAAUGAGAUCCUUAAAGCACCUGAAACCUCACAGCAGGAGGAGUGUGGAGGAGGCGAGCCGGCGCCUGGGUAGAUGUGAGCCCAAGGUAAUGGCCAGGCUGGUGGACAUAGGCACACAGACAGACCCCGUAGUCGUGCUGUCCCUGGCCCAGGCCGCCGUGCUAGGUCUCAUCUCCCAGAAUGAAGUGUUUGGCGCUACCAUUGCACCCAACGGCUUCUACACCGGCGAACCCAAAGAGUCCCCUGCACCACCAGUAGACGGCGUUGACUACGAGUACGCAGACCAGCUUAUUGGAGCCAACGGAGAUUAUUUGGGAGACAACUUGGGAGAAGACGGACAGAUGCAACCCAGUUGCAGUCAGAGGAGGUGGCAGCAGGGGCCCCCUCAACAUCCAGAUGCAAAAAUGGUGGGCCCCGAUCGUCACAGCCUUCAAGGCGGUGACGUGUCCUCAUCCCAUGUGUCCUCUUCCCAUGUGAAAGGGGAAGUGGUGAACUCUGCAAUGUCCUCCUGUGUCCACAUGCUUAACAAUCUGGCUCCCAGAGGUGGGUUGGUACAAGUGGAUCCAGCCACCCUCAGAAGUAACAACAAGAACUGUGUGGAGUGUGAGCGGGAAGCAUCCAACCAGCCGCAAGCCAACACGCACGGUCACCCUCCUCCCCCCCAGGUGAGCCACAGAGGAGGGGAGCAGGGCCACAGAGGACUGCAAAGCCAGCGCCCUAUGGGGGGCCACAGCCGAGGUGGCAGAGAGGACGAAGAAGAUGUAGAGCACCAGGGGAACAACAUGAUGAAGCCCACCCAGCAGGACGAAGCCAUCAGCAGCUACUUCCAGACCAGCGAAGUGGGCAGCUAUGAUUCGGCCGAAAUGGGCAUGGCGGGCGAGUACGAAGACAGCAGCCAGAACAUGAUGUGGACGGAUGGGAAUGCAGGAGCGCAGCAUCAGCAGCCCCCCCACCCUCAGCCUCCCCGUCGCCACGGCGGCCGCAGAGUGGACCGGCUAGAUAUCAAUAUCCAGAUUGAUGAAUCGUACUGCGUAGAUGUGGGAGAUGGUCUGAAGCGCUGGAAGUGUCGCAUGUGUGAUAAAUCGUACACCUCCAAAUACAACUUGGUCACGCACAUCCUGGGCCACAAUGGCAUCAAACCACACGCCUGUCCACAUUGCGGGAAACUCUUCAAGCAGCCCAGUCAUCUUCAAACCCACCUGCUGACCCACCAGGGCACGCGUCCCCACAAAUGCACCGUCUGCAAGAAGGGCUUCACCCAGACCAGCCACCUGAAGCGACACAUGCUCCAACACACUGACGUCAAGCCCUACAGCUGCCGUUUCUGCCGCCGCGGCUUUGCUUAUCCCAGCGAGCUGCGAGCGCACGAGGUGAAGCACGAGCGCGGACGUUGUCAUGUCUGCUCUCAGUGUGGCAUGGAGUUCCCCACCUACGCCCACCUCAAACGUCACCAAACCAGCCACCAGGGCCCCCACACCUUCCAGUGCACUGAGUGCAACAAGUCGUUCGCCUACCGCAGCCAGCUCCAGAACCACCUGCUGAAGCACCAGAGCCCGAGGCCUUACACCUGCUCCCAGUGCGGCCUGGAGUUUGUGCAGCUCCACCACCUACGUCAGCACUCGCUCACUCAUAAGGGGAUGAAAGGCCACAAAUGUGACGUGUGUUCCCGGGAGUUCACCCUGUCGGCCAACCUGAAGAGGCACAUGCUGAUCCACAACAGCGUCAGACCGUUCCAGUGUCACGUCUGCUUCAAGAGCUUCAUCCAGAAACAGACACUUAAGACCCACAUGAUAGUCCACCUGCCUGUGAAGCCAUUCAAAUGCAAGGUAUGUGGCAAGUCGUUCAACAGAAUGUACAACCUGCUGGGCCACAUGCAUCUUCAUGCUGGCAGUAAGCCCUUCAAAUGUCCCUACUGCACCAGUAAGUUCAACCUGAAGGGAAACCUCAGCAGGCACAUGAAAGUCAAGCACGGAAUGGACGUCUCACCAGAAGGACAAGUUUGAGAUGGAUUGGGUGAUGUCAUGUACCUUCACGCAGAAUUUAUCCACAUUUGAUAAUCUGAUGACAGUUAUGGGAUUGCCUGCUUAUGGAGCCUGGCCACUGUCAAUCAAAUCUGAUCAAAUCUCACCCGCACAAAGUUCUUCCAGAAAUGGAUAGCCAGGGGGAGUAUGAAGGACAGAACUUCAGCUUUACAUCACCAGACAAUAUGGACAAUGGUGGCUCCCAAAACCUCACUAAACUCACUACAGCAAACAUGGAGGACAUGGAGGAGUAUUACAAUUUCGGGAAGGAUACAAGCAGCUACGCUACACCUUGAGUGGUGAUUAACUGUUGAUCUUUUUUUGUUUUGUGAAGACAGAAAGAAAUUACAGAGUUGUUGUCAAGGCUUUGGGAGACACUGGGGACAGGGAUUGUUUUGGUUUGGGCCUCCUUCCAGAAGAGCCAAAACUGAUGGACUCUGAUGGGAGACCGGGAAGGAGACGCACUUCGAGGGACACGUUUUAGUUCUGUUGCUAUGGCAGAGACCCUGAAACUGCUGACGCUGGUCAGGAGCUCCUUAUUUUUUGGGGAUUACUGCGCCUUCCGUCUCAAAGACUCUCACUGGCAGAUAGUAUGUUGUGUGUAUGUAUCUGUUAUUUGAAGAAGAAAAAAAGAAAAGAAAAAAAGUUGCAGAAUCAUCAGUUACAUUUGAUGUGAUAGAAAUAUGUUUACCAUUUUUGCCAUGUUUAUUGUCAUCCACAACCAAUGUAUGCCCUUAUAUUUUUGACUGAAAGUGCCAGCUAGAUACAUGUGCAACUAAGCUUCCA